rnacentral:rRNA from 1 species
AUGCAAGUCGAGCGGGGGAAGGUAGCUUGCUACUGGACCUAGCGGCGGACGGGUGAGUAAUGCUUAGGAAUCUGCCUAUUAGUGGGGGACAACAUCUCGAAAGGGAUGCUAAUACCGCAUACGUCCUACGGGAGAAAGCAGGGGAUCUUCGGACCUUGCGCUAAUAGAUGAGCCUAAGUCGGAUUAGCUAGUUGGUGGGGUAAAGGCCUACCAAGGCGACGAUCUGUAGCGGGUCUGAGAGGAUGAUCCGCCACACUGGGACUGAGACACGGCCCAGACUCCUACGGGAGGCAGCAGUGGGGAAUAUUGGACAAUGGGGGGAACCCUGAUCCAGCCAUGCCGCGUGUGUGAAGAAGGCCUUACGGUUGUAAAGCACUUUAAGCGAGGAGGAGGCUACUUUAGUUAAUACCUAGAGAUAGUGGACGUUACUCGCAGAAUAAGCACCGGCUAACUCUGUGCCAGCAGCCGCGGUAAUACAGAGGGUGCGAGCGUUAAUCGGAUUUACUGGGCGUAAAGCGUGCGUAGGCGGCUUAUUAAGUCGGAUGUGAAAUCCCCGAGCUUAACUUGGGAAUUGCAUUCGAUACUGGUGAGCUAGAGUAUG